rnacentral:lncRNA from 1 species
AUUGUAACAAAAUCCAAUUUAGCCCCUCAACUUUCCAUCCAUUGCACUGCCCUCACUAGGCAUUCUGCACCCAGAGGGACCGGUCCCUCGUCGGGGAGACCGGUCCCCGAGAGCAGUCCCCACGACCAGAAGGCUUCCUCGCGUUCGGGAAUCGAUCUCUCCUCGGGAGACCGGUCUUCGCCUGAGAGACCGGUCCCCGAGAGCUCGAUUUUCAGGACUUAGCCGAUUUUGGCCUUCUCUCGCUGGCGUCGCACACGGGGACCGGUCCCCUCAGCCAGGGACCGGUUGCAUCAAAGAUCCCCAGCAACCACCAGCCUCGGGGACCGGUCUCUCCCUGCCACAGACCGGUCCCCGAGAGCAAUUUUAGCCCAGUGUAGGUUUUGCACUAUAUGCUCUCGCGGAUACGUUUCCAAUGCACUUUUUGUGUUUUGGACAACUUUAGCUUUUCCGAAGGAUACUCACUCGACAAUUAGUCGAUCCUGGACGAAGUACAACUCUCGAAUUUUGAGAAUUCACUUCCUUACACUAACCAUCUACGCUGUCUCAAGUUCA